ensembl:lncRNA
AACUUCACUGAAAACAUCUGGGACGGCAGGGGGUCCCAGAGGAGAAACACUGCUCUAACUGUAGACCGAAACUAUGUUUUGGUAUUUGUGUCAUGAGUCCAUUGUUGAUUUAGUCCUAAAAUGUUUUGCAUGUCAGCAAUCAAGUUUAAGACUUAUAACUUUCAAAAUACAGAAAAACAGCCAGUAUGAUGCAUUUAGCAUCAAAACACACAGUAGCAUCAUAUGAGGCUAAACACACAGUAGCAUCAUAUGAGGCUAAACAUACAGUAGCAUCAUAUGAGGCUAAACACACAGUAGCAUCAUAUGAGGCUAAACACACAGUAGCAUCAUAUGAGGCUAAACACACAGUAGCAUCAUAUGAGGCUAAACAUACAGUAGCAUCAUAUGAGGCUAAACAUACAGUAGCAUCAUAUGAGGCUAAAUGCUUCAUACUGCCUGUAUUUCUGUAUUUUGACUACAUCAACAAUGGACUACUGAAACAAAUAUGUUAGUGUGUUAAGAGUCACAGCCUCUCAACUAACCAAUUAGCACGUGUGUUAGAGUGACAGCCUCUCAACUCACUCAGCAGACCACCAUUAACCAAUCAGCACAUGUGUUUGGAGGAUUGGGGUGCCAUAGUAAUGUACCUGUCUAAAAGGUGAGCUUCCUUCAUGAAAUAUUGAUGGGAGACUGUAAAUAUGUAAAGGCUCUGCAUGGUCAAUAUGUUGUAAAGGCUCUGCAUGGUCAAUAUGUUGUAAAGGCUCUGCAUGGUCAAUAUGUUGUAAAGGCUCUGCAUGGUCAAUAUGUUGUAAAGGCUCUAUGUCAAUAUGUUGUAAAGGCUCUGCAUGGUCAAUAUGUCUUAAAGGCUCUGCAUGGUCAAUAUGUCUUAAAGGCUCUGCAUGGUCAACAAUAUGUCUUAAAGGCUCUGCAUGGUCAAUAUGUUGUAAAGGCUCUGCAUGGUCAAUAUGUUGUAAAGGCUCUGCAUGGUCAAUAUGUCUUAAAGGCUCUGCAUGGUCAAUAUGUCUUAAAGGCUCUGCAUGGUCAAUAUGUUGUAAAGGCUCUGCAUGGUCAAUAUGUCUUAAAGGCUCUGCAUGGUCAAUAUGUUGU